rnacentral:lncRNA from 10 species
GAGGGGGGAGAUUUCUCCAAACAGCCAGAUUUCUGACCCCUCUGCAGACUCGGAAGACAUGGCAGCUCAGGAGCCCUGAUGGCCGUUUCCUGGAGCCAAGAGUGUGCAGCCCUUGAAGCCCGCCAUUUCCCAGGGCUCCAGGGUCCCCACCACUCCCUACUGCUUCAUAUCCACCUUGCUUCCCUCUUCUGCCUUGGCCUGGCCCCUGUAGGCAUUGAGUCUGCAGUCCUUGUUUAGGGGCUGAGCAGCAGCAGCAAGUCCCAUCUGCCAAUAAGCAACCUCUGCAGGCCUGACACUGGCUGAGUUGUCCCUUUUAUCUCAAAGGGGCAUCACCCUGCAUUUGAGAACAUCUCAACAGACUCCCCGUCACCAGGAACGUGCCUGCUACUUGACAGAGCCAGGGAGGGAGGAUUGGCUGAUCUGGGGUUUUAUUGGCCCCCAGGAGAUGGAAGGCCCAGGCUCCAGCUGCGGUGGAGGACAAAGGGGACUUGUUUUGGUGACAAUGGUGCCUUUCAGGAGGGAGGAGGUGGCUUUUGUUAAGGGGGAACGAUGAGUUCAAGGGGUUCUGACUUAUUCUGGCAAGUUUCUCCAGCUCUACAAGAACUUCUAGUGCUCUGGGCAGCUGCGAGGGGUCAAGAAACCACAUCCCCAAAUCCAGCGGGUGAGUCUCAUUCCUUUGCUGAGUGGGGGCCUAAAAUGGGGCACUGUGGCUGCCUGACAAAGGAAGAGACUGAUGGCUGACCCUUAGAUGUGGGCUAGGGGACUGUAAUUGAUUUCCCUUCACAUUUCUGUCAGCAGGAGGAAUAACAGGAGGGCUAAGCGGGAAUUGUGGUGUUCAAAGUCAAAGAACAUUAACCUGCGGAUAACUCUGGGCCUCAUUAGCAACCCAGCCUUCUGAUGUUUUCUCUCCACACACAGGAUCUCAGAGAGAAAGGCUGAUGGGAAGCUGCCCAGGGCUGACCUGGCACAUGCUGGGAAAACCCCUCGGUGCCAGGGCAGGAGGCAGAGCGUCUGCAGCUCCUCCCUCCCCAACACAGGGGAUUUACCAAGGGCAGAGAAAAUGCAUGGGAAUACACAGCCAAGAAGCAAUCCAGUGCCCCUUCCACUCACAGCUAAGUUCCUGUUGACGAGGCGGCCCAGCUCCCCAGGCGUGGCUGUGUUCCGGAUAUCCACAUCGUGGGGCGACACAUAAAGCUUUGUGUCAUUCAAGUCAAAGAACUCGACUUCUGUGAGACCCACCCACCACGAGUUGCCCCAGUUGGACAGGAUCUCCAUGGUCACGUAGAUGGCAUCUUUGAUCUCGUCUGCCCUCAUUCUCUGUUUGUCCUUAAAGAAGAGAAAAAUAACACCAAAGGAUUAAGUCAUGACAGGCUUGAAUUCGGCUCUGCCUCUGCCACCACUGCCUUCAAAAAGUUAGUUAACCUUCAGGGUCUCAGUCUCUCCAUCUGUACAAUGAGGAUAAGAAUAGCACCCACUACCUAUGGUUAUUACAAUGAUUAAAUGAAUUCAUACUGUAAAGCAUUCAAAAUAGAGGCCCUGUGUAACUGGCACUCUGUGAGCAUUCUGUUUGAAAGUUUACAAAUAAAUAAAAAUGUCUAAAAAGCAUUGAAUUCUGCCUGAACAUGCACGUCUCUCCCCCACUACUCAGUGUUCGGUACCCAGAAGCUUGUCACGACAUCUGCUGAAUUGAGUAGGUGUUACGUGCUAAGGCCGGGCACGGUGGCUCACGCCUGUAAUCCCAACACUUUGAGAGGCCAAGCUCGGAGGAUUCCUCGAGGCCAGGAGUUCAAGAUCAGCCUAAGCAACAAAGUGAGAUCCUGUCUUUACAAAAAAAUUAAAAAAAAAAAAGAGCUUGGCACAGCGGCACAUGCCUGUAGUCCCAGCUACGCAGGAGGCUGAGGCAGGAGGAUUGCUGGAGCCCAGGUGGUUGAGGCUGCAGUGAGCUGUGUUCACACCACUGCAUUCCAGCCUGGGUGAAAGACCCAGUCUCAAAAAAAAAAAAAAAAGGUUACGGGCUGAAUUUAUCCCUUCCAAAUUAAUCUGAUGAAACUCUAAUCCCCAGUACCUCAGAAUAUGACUGUAUUUGGAGAUAAGGCCUUUAAAUAGGUGAUUAAGUUAAAAUGAGGCUGUGGGGGAGGGGGGCACUAAUCCAAUCUAACUGGUGUCCUUAUAAGAGGAAAGUUGGACACACAGAGAGACACACCAAGGAUGCACACACAGAAAAAGGCCAUAUGAGGGCAAAGCAAGAAGGCAGCUAUCUGCAAGCCAGAGAGAGGCCUCAGAACAAACCAAACCUGCCAACACCUUGAUCUUGGACUUCCAGCCUUCGGAAUUGUGAGAAAACAAAUCUCUGUUGUUGAAGCCACCCCAUGUGUGGUAUUUUGUUAUGGCAGCCCUGGUGGACUGAUAUAGUAGGUAACAUGGCCCCCUGGCCUUGGACAAGUCACUUGACAUCCCUCGGCCUGGUUGGGGAAGAGGACAUGACACCAUCUAUGUGAUAAUCCUGUCACAGAUGUUAAACAAGAUAUCAAUACCUAAGAAGGCCCUAUCAUGAGCCUCGGCCCUGGGUGCGCUCUGUAAGUGUCUGUUUCUUUCUGUUUCUCUCCUUCAUUGGUUUUAAUGCCUGCCUCCUUCCUGCGUCGGCUGUCUGCUCUGAGAGCCUGCGUGAAUGCCAUCAAUAAAUGGCCACCGUUCGGAAUGGCUUCCUGAGGCCCUCCAGGGCUGAUUGCAGCACUGGUCGCCACGGAUCAGUCACUCACAAAAUGGUGCAUUCCCCAUGUGCACAUGCCCUCUGUUAAUUAGCAUGGGUAAUCUGCAAUGGUUCUGUGAGCAGGGAGCCAAGCAAAUGAACAGCAACUGUUCCCCACUUAUUUUUUUAAUUAAUAGCCAGCGAGACGUGCUAUUGCUCUCAGUGUGUGUUUGGAGGGGCCUUGAUUGCCACACGGUGGGAACGCGGAUAGGGAGGAGGGAGAGAGGUCAGCUCACAGCUCCUGGAUAAAAGAUAGGGCCUGUUUUGAUCAGCUGGGCCCUCGAAACCCACAGCUUCCUCCUGCUCC